rnacentral:rRNA from 1 species
ACGGGGAGGAAGACCAACAGGGAUUGCCUCAGUAACGGCGAGUGAAGCGGCAACAGCUCAAAUUUGAAAUCUGGCCCUAGGCCCGAGUUGUAAUUUGCAGAGGAUGCUUUUGGCAAGGUGCCUUCCAAGUUCCCUGGAACGGGACGCCACAGAGGGUGAGAGCCCCGUCAGGUCGUGCAACCAAGCCUUUGUAAAGCUCCUUCGACGAGUCGAGUAGUUUGGGAAUGCUGCUCUAAAUGGGAGGUAUAUGUCUUCUAAAGCUAAAUAUUGGCCAGAGACCGAUAGCGCACAAGUAGAGUGAUCGAAAGAUGAAAAGCACUUUGAAAAGAGAGUUAAAAAGCACGUGAAAUUGUUGAAAGGGAAGCGUUCAUGACCAGACUUGGGCCCGGUUGAUCAUCCAGCGUUCUCGCUGGUGCACUCUGCCGGCCCAGGCCAGCAUCAGUUCGCUCCGGGGGACAAAGGUUCCGGGAACGUGGCUCCCUCGGGAGUGUUAUAGCCCGGUUCAAAUGCCCUGGGGUGGACUGAGGUCCGCGCAUUGCAAGGAUGCUGGCGUAAUGGUCAUCAACGACCCGUCUUGAAACACGGACCAAGGAGUCGUCUUCGUAUGCGGUUUUUUGUGGGUGG